rnacentral:rRNA from 1 species
UACGUAGGGUGCAAGCGUUGUCCGGAAUUAUUGGGCGUAAAGAGCUCGUAGGCGGUUUGUCGCGUCUGCUGUGAAAACGCGAGGCUCAACCUCGCGCCUGCAGUGGGUACGGGGCAGACUAGAGUGCGGUAGGGGAGAUUGGAAUUCCUGGUGUAGCGGUGAAAUGCGCAGAUAUCAGGAGGAACACCGGUGGCGAAGGCGGGUCUCUGGGCAACAACUGACGCUGGAGGAGCGAAAGCGUGGGGAGCGAACAGG